CCGAGUUUACAACUCCCAAACCCAAUGUGAACCAUACCAAACUGUUGCCUCGGCGGGGUCACGCCCCGGGUGCGUCGCAGCCCCGGAACCAGGCGCCCGCCGGAGGGACCAACCAAACUCUUUCUGUAGUCCCCUCGCGGACGUUAUUUCUUACAGCUCUGAGCAAAAGUUCAAAAUGAAUCA
rnacentral:misc_RNA from 1 species